rnacentral:misc_RNA from 1 species
UCUCCGUCGGUGAACCAGCGGAGGGAUCAUUACCGAGUUUACAACUCCCAAACCCCUAUGUGAACGUUACCAAACUGUUGCCUCGGCGGGAAAUUCAUGCCCCGGGCGCGUCGCAGCCCCGGACCAAGGCGCCCGCCGGAGGACCAACCAAAACUCUUUUGUAUGUCCCUCGCGGACUCUUAUAAUUCUGAACCAUCUCGGCGCCCCUAGCGGGCGUUUCGAAAAUGAAUCAAAACUUUCAACAACGGAUCUCUUGGUUCUG